UAGAGAAGGUCAUACUCAGACUAGAUACUGGCUGGUUGUAGAGGAGAUUAGAGAAGGUCAUACUCAGACUAGAUACUGGCUGGUUGUAGAGGAGAUUAGAGAAGGUCAUACUCAGACUAGAUACUGGCUGGUUGUAGAGGAGAUUAGAGAAGGUCAUACUCAGACUAGAUACUGGCUGGUUGUAGAGGAGAUUAGAGAAGGUCAUACUCAGACUAGAUACUGGCUGGUUGUAGAGGAGAUUAGAGAAGGUCAUACUCAGACUAGAUACUGGCUGGUUGUAGAGGAGAUUAGAGAAGGUCAUACUCAGACUAGAUACUGGCUGGUUGUAGAGGAGAUUAGAGAAGGUCAUACUCAGACUAGAUACUGGCUGGUUGUAGAGGAGAUUAGAGAAGGUCAUACUCAGACUAGAUACUGGCUGGUUGUAGAGGAGAUUAGAGAAGGUCAUACUCAGACUAGAUACUGGCUGGUUGUAGAGGAGAUUAGAGAAGGUCAUACUCAGACUAGAUACUGGCUGGUUGUAGAGGAGAUUAGAGAAGGUCAUACUCAGACUAGAUACUGGCUGGUUGUAGAGGAGAUUAGAGAAGGUCAUACUCAGACUAGAUACUGGCUGGUUGUAGAGGAGAUUAGAGAAGGUCAUACUCAGACUAGAUACUGGCUGGUUGUAGAGGAGAUUAGAGAAGGUCAUACUCAGACUAGAUACUGGCUGGUUGUAGAGGAGAUUAGAGAAGGUCAUACUCAGACUAGAUACUGGCUGGUUGUAGAGGAGAUUAGAGAAGGUCAUACUCAGACUAGAUACUGGCUGGUUGUAGAGGAGAUUAGAGAAGGUCAUACUCAGAGUAGAUACUGGCUGGUUGUAGAGGAGAUUAGAGAAGGUCAUACACAGACUAGAUACUGACUGGUUGUAGAGGA